UAGGGGCUUACCAUUACUAAGCUCUGAGAAAUGGCUUAUUCACCUCAACUAUUCUCUUGCUUUCUUUUUACUUUUCUGCUGCUCUUGUUCAUAUCUCCACCUUAAUCUUCAUUAGAUGAUCCUGACAAAAUUAAUAUGACUUUGUACCAUGAAACUCUUUGUCCUAGUUGUAUUCAGUUCAUCAUUGAUGACCUGACAAGUACCUAUGUAAGUGAAAUCAUUCCAAUUACCAUCUCAGGCUGCUUCCCUGGGCCAAUGCUGAGCUGACAGAGGGACAAACACUUCAAGUGCCAGAAUGGCUCAGAUGAAUGCUUGCUAAAUACUGUGGAAGCCUGUGCAAAAUUGAUGUCCCGCCAGAACUGGUAAACCUGCAGGAUCCUACUCAUGGUUUACACCACCCAGUAAACUGCAGAGUUCAUAUCCUUUUUCUUUACAUUAGCUAACGCUCCAGGUACUGAUCCAAUGUGUAAUUGACAUUUUUAGAUGGAAGAUGCAUGUCUCUUAAAUCUAUAUCAAAGUUCUUUAAUUAAAUUCCUAUAUAAAAUUCA